UACGGGGGGGGCAAGCGUUGUUCGGAAUUACUGGGCGUAAAGGGCUCGUAGGCGGCCAACUAAGUCAGACGUGAAAUCCCUCGGCUUAACCGGGGAACUGCGUCUGAUACUGGAAGGCUUGAGGAUGGGAGAGGGAUGUAGAAUUCCAGGUGUAGCGGUGAAAUGCGUAGAUAUCGGGAGGAACACCAGUAGCGAAGGCGGCUCGCUGGGCCACACCUGACGCUGAGACGCGAAAGCUAGGGGAGCGAACAGG
rnacentral:rRNA from 1 species